GAUGAAGAACGUAGCGAAAUGCGAUAAGUAAUGUGAAUUGCAGAAUUCAGUGAAUCAUCGAAUCUUUGAACGCACAUUGCGCCCCUUGGUAUUCCGAGGGGCAUGCCUGUUCGAGCGUCAUUAUAACCCCUCAAGCUCAGCUUGGUGUUGGGGCCUGCUGCACUGGCAGCCCUUGAAAUCAGUGGCGGCGCCAUCUGGCUCUAAGCGUAGUAAUUCUUCUCGCUAUGGAGUCCUGGUGGAUGCUUGCCAUCAACCCCCAAUUUUUCUAUGGUUGACCUCGGAUCAGGUAGGGAUACCCGCUGAACUUAAGCAUAUCAAUAAGCGGAGGA
rnacentral:misc_RNA from 1 species